rnacentral:rRNA from 1 species
UCCUGUACCACCUAUAAUCGUUUUAAUCGAUGGGGGGACGCAGUAGGAUAGGCGAAGCGUGCGAUUGGAUUGCACGUCUAAGCAGUAAGGCUGAGUAUUAGGCAAAUCCGGUACUCAUUAAGGCUGAGCUGUGAUGGGGAGAAGACAUUGUGUCUUCGAGUCGUUGAUUUCACACUGCCGAGAAAAGCCUCUAGAUAGAAAAUAGGUGCCCGUACCGCAAACCGACACAGGUAGUCAAGAUGAGAAUUCUAAGGUGAGCGAGCGAACUCUCGUUAAGGAACUCGGCAAAAUGACCCCGUAACUUCGGGAGAAGGGGUGCUCUUUAGGGUUAACGCCCAGAAGAGCCGCAGUGAAUAGGCCCAAGCGACUGUUUAUCAAAAACACAGGUCUCUGCUAAACCGUAAGGUGAUGUAUAGGGGCUGACGCCUGCCCGGUGCUGGAAGGUUAAGAGGAGUGGUUAGCUUCUGCGAAGCUACGAAUCGAAGCCCCAGUAAACGGCGGCCGUAACUAUAACGGUCCUAAGGUAGCGAAAUUCCUUGUCGGGUAAGUUCCGACCCGCACGAAAGGCGUAACGAUUUGGGCACUGUCUCAACGAGAGACUCGGUGAAAUCAUAGUACCUGUGAAGAUGCAGGUUACCCGCGACAGGACGGAAAGACCCCGUGGAGCUUUACUGUAGCCUGAUAUUGAAAUUCGGCACAGCUUGUACAGGAUAGGUAGGAGCCUUUGAAACGUGAGCGCUAGCUUACGUGGAGGCGCUGGUGGGAUACUACCCUAGCUGUGUUGGCUUUCUAACCCGCACCACUUAUCGUGGUGGGAGACAGUGUCAGGCGGGCAGUUUGACUGGGGCGGUCGCCUCCUAAAAGGUAACGGAGGCGCUCAAAGGUUCCCUCAGAAUGGUUGGAAAUCAUUCAUAGAGUGUAAAGGCAUAAGGGAGCUUGACUGCGAGACCUACAAGUCGAGCAGGGUCGAAAGACGGACUUAGUGAUCCGGUGGUUCCGCAUGGAAGGGCCAUCGCUCAACGGAUAAAAGCUACCCCGGGGAUAACAGGCUUAUCUCCCCCAAGAGUUCACAUCGACGGGGAGGUUUGGCACCUCGAUGUCGGCUCAUCGCAUCCUGGGGCUGUAGUCGGUCCCAAGGGUUGGGCUGUUCGCCCAUUAAAGCGGUACGCGAGCUGGGUUCAGAACGUCGUGAGACAGUUCGGUCCCUAUCCGUCGUGGGCGUAGGAAAUUUGAGAGGAGCUGUCCUUAGUACGAGAGGACCGGGAUGGACAUACCUCUGGUGUACCAGUUGUCGUGCCAACGGCAUAGCUGGGUAGCUAUGUGUGGACGGGAUAAGUGCUGAAAGCAUCUAAGCAUGAAGCCCCCCUCAAGAUGAGAUUUCC